rnacentral:rRNA from 1 species
AUUGAACGCUGGCGGAAUGCUUUACACAUGCAAGUCGAACGGCAGCACGGACUUCGGUCUGGUGGCGAGUGGCGAACGGGUGAGUAAUGUAUCGGAACGUGCCCAGUCGUGGGGGAUAACGUAGUGAAAAUUACGCUAAUACCGCAUACGAUCCAUGGAUGAAAGCGGGGGAUCGCAAGACCUCGCGCGAUUGGAGCGGCCGAUAUCAGAUUAGGUAGUUGGUGGGGUAAAGGCCCACCAAGCCAACGAUCUGUAGCUGGUCUGAGAGGACGACCAGCCACACUGGAACUGAGACACGGUCCAGACUCCUACGGGAGGCAGCAGUGGGGAAUUUUGGACAAUGGGCGAAAGCCUGAUCCAGCCAUUCCGCGUGCAGGAUGAAGGCCCUCGGGUUGUAAACUGCUUUUGUACAGAACGAAAGGGUUUCUACUAAUACUAGGAGCUCAUGACGGUACUGUAGGAAUAAGCACCGGCUAACUACGUGCCAGCAGCCGCGGUAA